UGGUGAUCAGCUAAACCCUGAGCAUAUGGGCAAGAUUCACCAGCCAGAUACUACAGAAAAUUCUUUCCUGGGUAACUCAGAUCCUACCCCAUCUAACAUCCCAUCCCAUCCCAUAGUUGGUGUGGUGCACUCUGGACAAAAGAGCCAACUAGGUUAAUAACAUUUGUUCUUAUAGUUUUCCAAGAAUGGUGGUUUCCUAUUAUCUUAUCCUCCUUCCUUCCUAUGUUUUAUAGAGCUUGAAAAUUAGGAAGACCAUUAAAAGGGGCCUUGUAAUAGUCAAGCUGAGGAGACAAAGGUAGUGAUGGUUUUAGCACAGGUAGAGCUGAUAGACUCUUACAUGGGCAACGUUGUAGAAAUGCAGCUAGGUUGAUUUGCUAAAAUAGGAGCUGCAGAAGAAGAAGAGAGUGAAGGAUAAUGCCAAGGUUAUAGCCAGAGGCAAAUGGAAGGUCUGAGUUGAAAAGAGGAUAUAAAAUAAAGAACUGGAUUUGAGGAUUACCUUUGUUGCCUCAGGUAACUUUUUAAGAAGUAGUUGAAAGAAAUUGAGAUUACAGUUUAAUUGAUGAGAUCAGGAAGAGAGAAGGUUAAAAGGGCUGAGUAUUAAAAAUACCAAAAUAUACAGAACUGAGUAUCAUCAUGUAAAAAUGACAGAAAGACAAAGGAAGGGGACAUAAUAUAAUCAAGCAUAAGAAAUUGUGCGGAAACCAGAUUCAAGAAUGAAACCUUUUCGGUUGCCUUAGAAGAGGGGGCCUUGUGCAGAGGCAGAGCUACUACCAAGCGGAUGGAGGAGUUUGAUAUGUGGAAUCAAACAUCCAAGAAGAGAAAAAAAAAUCAUGGCUGCAGAACUAAGGAGAUAGUGAAUACUCCACAAGGCGGAAGGCUGCAAUGAUGUCCAAGAGAAUGAGUGUGAGGGAGAAAAAGCCAUUUUGAGUAUGAACAGUAUUUGCUCUUUUAGCUAUAUAAUGGUGUUGUGACUGAUACUUUAAUUCUGAAAUAUCAACCAAAAUAAACCUAAUGGCAUGCUGAAGAUGAAAUCCUGCUUUCUGGUUAGUUAACUGUUAGGAAAAGAAAGUAGCCAAGAUUAUAGCAGUAGCAAACACCACAUCAAAUUAACACACAAAGAGUUAAUUUUUAAACAUUUUUAUAUUCUCAGAAUAAUAAAUAGGGGAGCAUGUUUUCUGGCAGCUGAUGACAGGCUGGGAUAGUGGCCAUUAUUUUGCCUAGAAAAUAUGCAAUCAAGCUUUAUUCACAUUAAUUUGACAUUCUAAUAAAUAUAGCUAACCUCCAAACUGCUGUGAAAAUGUCCUGUAUCUUUUUGAGAGACAAAAUGGGUGAGGUAAUAUUUAUUGGACCAACUCCUGUUGGUGAGAGAGAGACAAGACGAAAACACAAGGUCCAAUAAAAGAUAUUACCUCACUUACCUUGUCUCUCUCUAAUAUCCUGGGACCGAUAUGGCUACAACUACAUUGUUUUUCUUAGACAUCUUAGCCUUUUCCUUUGGCAAAAAAUGCAUAUUACACAAGCAAGAGGACAUUUUUAUUUAUUACUGUUAUUUUUACAACACACUCAAUGUAUUGUGUGCUUUACAGAAACAAAAGCCUUGUCUGUAUUAAAAAUUGCUCCAGUUUUACUAAAGGUAAAUCAGCUUAGUUAAACCAGUGCAAACCUGUGUGGUUUGUGCUGGUUUAAAUAAAUCCACUUAGAAGCAUCUCUUUAGUGAAACCUAUGCAACUUUUAAUACAGACAAGAUCUAAUAAAAAGAUAUGGUCCUUGAUUCAGAAAAUUAUCAUUUAAAACCCCAAUCUUGUAAGGUCUUAUGCAUGUGCAUUAGAUCACUCACUCAGUAGUCCCAGAGAUUUCAAUAGGGACUAGUCACAUGAGUCAAUUGUGCACAUGCUUAAGUCUUUGCUAGGUUGGGGCUUAAAUUUUGACAAGACUCAGCUUAGGCAUGUUAACAUUUUGAUGAUUCAAUAAUUAUUUUUGGUAGCCUGUUUUUGUUUUUAUUAUAUUUAACACCAGGUUUAAAACUCUGGGCCUAAUUCUCUUCUCUCUUAUACCAGCAUUGGUGCUGCUGAGUGGGGGACAGUAGUUAAAGGUCUCUGGAAACUAACAAUCUCUCAAUCUUUAUAAAAAAAAAUUUGCCUGUUGGUAGGGAACUCCAUCAAAUGUCCAUCAGGCAUGCUAGAGAUUGCAGCACUGUGGUUGAUAUUUUAUCAUUAUUUCAUAAAAGAAUGCUUAAAAAUAAAAAGUAUAUUAAUUGAAUGUGAUUUUAAAAUGUCAAGGCCUGUAUUUAUAGAGGAAAGUAUGUGAGUAAAAAAUGAGUCCAUAUCUUCCGUGUUAGUGUUUGUUUGGAUAGAAUGCUAGUCCUAUCCUUUAAAAUCGCUGAAACAGCAUAUUUUGUUCAAAGGGUGAGGGGGAUGCAGUUAAAUUAGAGACAAUGUAAAGCUCUCACAUGCUGAGGUGAUUUUAAAAUUAUUUAAAUAAUACAGAACUUCAGCAGACAUAUUUUCUGUAGUCUAGUGUCGCUCACAAUUCUGAGACAUCUGGGCUGCUCCUCUCCAGGCUGCAGCUCACAGAGGCGGGCCAAAGUUGCAGUGCUACAUGCACUGACCACGUGUCCUGCUCCUGCUUGCCGCCAGAUUCUCUGCCUCCGUGGCAGCAGUCAGUUGGCAAGUUUAGUUGCUACUGUUUCUUUUGUUCCCCUGGCUGUUUUUCUUGCCUGUUUUCAGCAGUGGCUAGCAGAUCUUUUUCUUAACCCUUUCUUCUCCUCUCUGGGUCAAAUUUCAUUGGCUUAAUGAGUAAUCUAUCUGGAGCUGCUGGCCACAUGCCAGUUAUACAUAGUUGUGUUCCCACUGAAGUUACUAAUAUCUUUCUAUGAGUUCUAUGCAGCAUUGGAAUGACUCAUCUGGCACCAAGCUGGGGGGAAGAGGGGUGGCCAGCACAUGCAGCACGGCAACUUUGGACCCCCUUUGACAGCUGCAGUGUGGAGAGGAGAUGUCUUGUGGGAGAUGCUAGCAGAAAGGAGAUUAUUGGCUGGUUCCUUCAAGUGGAUGCACAUACAGCAGUUACAACUCUGGACUGGUAGGAAAAGGCAAAGCUCUCCCUAAUGCUGAUUUUGAGAGUCUCAAUCGGGAAGGAAAAUUAUGGGAUGAAAUCUUGGCCUUACUGAAGUCAAUGGAACCAAUAUUUCACCCUUGGUUACCAUAUCCUUUUCUGAAGAUGCAAAUCACUUGAGCUAGAUUGACACUGGUCCUGAUCUGGCAACCUUAUCUGAUCACAAUGUGUCUACUGACAUAAGCGUAGGCUGCAAUUACAAGUGUGGCUUUGCAAACUCAGUCCCCUUAUGUUGAUUGGAGUUUUUACAAAUGUCCAGUUAAUGUAAUUUCAUGCAAUGUAACAUACCAUCUAGUGCCAAAAAGAAGAAUAAAGUUACCACUAGAAAAUAUAUACUUUAAUUUAAUAUUUCUUGAAACAUUUUUUUUCAACCAGCUCUAGAAAUUAUCCUCAGGAUUUUACCAUCAGAACUGGUCAAUUUGGCAAAAUUAAAAAGUGUUUGUGGACAAUGUUGUUUGUCUUGGAACUGAAGACCCUAGAGCUUCUGUGGGCUCAGCUCCUUAGCAGGCAGAGUAUCCUGGAACCAGAGUUCCAUUCCUUUUCACAGAGAAUUUCUAAAUAUUUGGGGUUUAUUCCAAAUAAGAAUGAAACCCAAUUUUGAAAUAUCAAAAUCUUCCACAAAAUGAAAUAUCCCGUUUUUGCACAGCUGUAAUAAUUUCACCCAAAUUUCAAACAUUAAAAUGCAGUAAACACUGGUUUUCUGUUAUCCCAAACUGGAUUAGUCACAUUUAUAUUUUCUGCAGACUUCUAAAAUAACGACGUUCUUUUGUGAUCAGUAAGGCCAAGAAAGUGCUUUGAUUUCACAUGUAAUCAUUCCAGAACUUAGUUGUGCCACAAACUGUACACCCUGCUGGAGUAAAUUUAAAAAAAAAGGAUCUCAAAGAUAGCAGCUUAAAAACUCUGCAGUUAUGAUUUCAAAAAUUCUUUCCUUACACAGCAGAAAUACGUUGAUCCUUAUUUGGCAUAAUCACCAUUCUAAAUAUAUUGCUGUUCAACUUGGCUUUUAACAGAGAGCUGAAGGAUACAGUUGCUUUUUGUUUGCCUACCCGAGGCUGAUAUGACAGCUUUCAUGUAUCUGAAAUUGCAUCCCUUUAUAUCAGGGGUUCUCAAACCGGGGGUCCUGAGGUUAUUACAUGGGGGGUUGCCUCCAGUAUUUAUAAUGGUGUUAAACAUAUAAAAAAAAGUGUUUUUAAUUUAAUAGGGGGGUUGCACUCAGAGGCUAUGUGAAAGGGAUCACCAGUACAAAAGUUUGAGGACCACUGCUUUAUAUAAUAAUUAAAACGUGCACAAUACACAAACCCCUGUUAACAUAGAGGGUUUUUUUUAAAAUAUAUGUUUAUCAGAACAAAUGGUUUGCUGGGGAUUUUGGACUAGUUCUCUGGCUUCUCAUGCAUAUUAGAAGUGUAAUCUAGAUCUAGAAGAUAGUGUUCAGGAGACUAACAAGAGCUGCACUGCUGCAGCAAGACAAAGUUGCAAUCUAUUGUCAUGAAAAAUACAACAUGUUGUCUGAUCAACCAUUAAAAAAAAAUCUCAUAUGUUGCAAA